AUUGACCGAUUUCUUUAGAAUUUACCGAUUUCUUUGAUUUCUUCGAUCAUUUUUGCGUAACUUGUUUAUUAUUUAUUAUUUUUGUUUCAUGUUAGUUCGACGGAUCCGUUUCAUUUAUCAGAAUCUGUGAUUCUCUUUGCUUAUCUUUAAAUCCAUUGCAUUUCGGCCGAUGCACGAUGCGGUAGUCCUAGAUAUGUCAAGUGGAUGGUUGUUAUUGUUUUCUGUGGAAGCGCAGGAGGGGUCUUUGACAUUAAAGCAGAUUCUUGCAGAGCGAGAGAGAAAUGGUUUGUGGAAGAAAUCUCAUAUCAUGAAAAUAUAUUCCUACAUAUUGAAAUGAAGAUGAUCAGAUUGAAACUAUGAAGCUGUGUUCAUUGGAAUUUCAACACCAAAGAUUUUGACAGAUCUUGUGAAAAAUAUGAGGAGAAUUUCACUGAGAAUUUUGUAAAUUUGGUAACUUCUGCCACAAGCUAUCAUACUUUUAUGAAUAUUUUAGUUGAUUUGUAGAGAGAAGCAUGAGCGCAAUGGAAGGCAAAAAGGUAAAAGUGAAAACACAAUUCCGUUGUGAAAUUUGUGAUAGAAAAUUUUCCCGAAAUUCACAACUCAGUAUGCAUAGAGUGGUUCAUACUGGAGAAAAACCGUACAACUGUGACAUUUGUGGUAAAUUAUUUUCAAGACAAAGUAAUGCAAAUCGCCAUAAGGUGGUGCACACUGGCAAGAGACCCUACAUCUGUGAUAUCUGUGGUAAAUCAUUCCAUUUAAAUAGUAUUUUAAAAAGACAUAGAAUAGUUCAUUCGGAAGAGAAACCACACCAAUGUGAUAUUUGUGGUAAAACAUUCUUAAGAAAAGAGAGCGUUACAGAUCAUAAAGUAAUCCACUCUGGAGAGAAACCAUUUGAAUGUGAUAUUUGUGGGAAAGCCUACUAUGUGAAGAAGAGACUACAGCGCCAUAUUAUAGUUCAUACUGGAGAGAAAUCUCACCAAUGUGACAUCUGUGGUAAAAUAUUCUUGUACAAUAGUGACUUAAAGAUACAUAAAAUGCUCCAUAUUGUAGAAGAGCCAUUCAAGUGUGAAACUUGUAAUAAAACUUUCACAAAUAAUAGCGACUUGAAAAAACAUAAAAUGACACAUAAAGGAGAGAAACCUUAUAAAUGUAAGAUUUGUGGUAAAGCUUUCUCAAGAAAAGACCGAUUAACGAUGCAUGAUAAUGCUCAUGCAGAAGAGACGCACCAGUGUAAUGUUUGCAGUAAGACAUUCCUAAGUCAUUCCCUUUUAAAAGAUCAUAAAAUUGUUCAUGUUAGCGAGAAACCAUACAAAUGUAACCUCUGCAUUAAAUCAUUUUCACACGACCGUAGCUUAAAGAGACAUAAAAUGCAACACAGAAAAGAAGCGCUAGCACAGUAGUGUGAAAUCGGUGUUUCAGAAUUCUUGUCUUGUGGCUACCUAAACAUAUUCCAGGUCAUUAAAACUGUGGCCAUCAAGGAUGACCAUGGUAGCAUGUAUCAGGUUUUUGGUGAUUGCUUUAAGUGUCCGUGUAGACGUGGACAUUCUCUUGGAUCUCCAACUCAUGAUCUAGUGGAACAUCCAGUAUGUAACAUCUGGAGAGAGAAAGAGUUGGGCUUGCACUGAGCUGGUACUUUAUUUAUUGUCCAUGAAAGAAUGAAAGGUAAAUUUUACCUAGUUUGGAUUGGAAAUCAGAGUGCAGAACCAGGACAGGUACCACAAUGCAUUCUACCUGAUGUAACGAUGAUCAGUCAGCCUGUUGGCUGUUUUAUUCCAGUUUAGGUAAAUGUGAUAUUUGUGACAUAAAAGUUAUUGAUAAA